rnacentral:rRNA from 1 species
CGUUGUCCGGAAUCAUUGGGCGUAAAGAGCGUGUAGGCGGCCAGGUAGGUCCGUUGUGAAAACUCGAGGCUCCACCUCGAGACGUCGGCGGAAACCCUCUGGCUAGAGUCCGGAAGAGGAGAGUGGAAUUCCUGGUGUAGCGGUGAAAUGCGCAGAUAUCAGGAAGAACACCCGUGGCGAAGGCGGCUCUCUGGGCAGUAACUGACGCUGAGGAGCGAAAGCGUGGGGAGCGAACAGG